rnacentral:rRNA from 1 species
GACGAACGCUGGCGGCGUGCUUAACACAUGCAAGUCGAACGGAAAGGCCCUGCUUUUGUGGGGUGCUCGAGUGGCGAACGGGUGAGUAACACGUGAGUAACCUGCCCUUGACUUUGGUAUGACUUCAGGAAGCUGGGGCUAAUACCGGAUAGGAGCUCCUGCUGCAUGGUGGGGGUUGGAAGGUUUCGGCGGUUGGGGAUGGACUCGCGGCUUAUCAGCUUGUUGGUGGGGUAGUGGCUUACCAAGGCUUUGACGGGUAGCCGGCCUGAGAGGGUGACCGGCCACAUUGGGACUGAGAUACGGCCCAGACUCCUACGGGAGGCAGCAGUGGGGAAUAUUGCACAAUGGGCGGAAGCCUGAUGCAGCAACGCCGCGUGAGGGAUGACGGCCUUCGGGUUGUAAACCGCUUUCGCCUGGGACGAAGCGUGAGUGACGGUAAUGGGUAAAGAAGCACCGGCUAACUACGUG